GCCGAGGUGGCGGAACUGGCAGACGCGUCAGACUAAGGAUCUGAUGAGCUUAGGCUCAUGGGGGUUCGAGUCCCCCCCUCGGCA
rnacentral:tRNA from 2 species